CGUCUUACAUCGGGCGUGAUGCGCCUGCAUAGUUACGCUUUUGUCAGCGCUUCAACGUUCAUAGAUAUGCUUCUUUUGUGCGUUCAGCGCGGCUUCUUGUAAUACGGUCGCUCGCACUUAAGUUAAAUGUGGUCGACCACUUUUGCGUCGCGUAGAAAAAGGACGACUGACUUUGCCACCUUUCGAAAGAACUGGCGCGGUAUUGGUUCUCCCUGAUGCGGUCGCGUGCUGCUGUUGCUGCUUGCCGGGCGCCUUUAACAUGUUUUCGGCUCGCUUUGUCUGUGCGUGUGUGCGCGCUCGCGCUCGGCUCGAUUCGUGUGUGUGCGUGCGCUCAGCUCAGCUCGCUUUGUGUGUGUGUGUGUGUGUGUGUGUGUGUGUGUGUGUGUGUGUGUGUGCGUGCGUGCAUGCGUGCGUGUGUGUGUGUGCAUGCGUGCGUCUUGCGCGCGCAUACAUGCCGGUUUGUAUGGGCCGGCGUGCUUGCGUGUGUCUAGUGCGUACGUGUUUUGUGAGCGUGUUUCUGUGUGGGUCACUGUGUGUGCGUCCACGUGUUAGCGUGUCUGCCUGCAUGUAUGUGUGAUUGUUUGUGUUUAUCAAUGUGCGCGUGCGUGCCUUUGUGUCUGCGCUUUGAGAGUGCGUAUAUUUGUGUGCGUGCGUAUGUAUUGCAUAAGGCCGGUAGAAUUUUACUCGCAAUAAAACUCUUCCAAUUUGGUGCAGCGAGUGUUGCCGCCUGAAAGCCGAGUUUGGUUUCAAGCCAACCUGGACAACUGCUGUAUGAGGCGCUGUUUCGCAGGAGGAUCAGUGGGAAGGCGUCAGGUCAUGCAGAUGAUAGCAUCAAUUUCACAAUGCCCAGCCUUGGUGCCCUCCAUUAAGAGCAAGCCACUUGCGUUCGCCUUCAGGCAGAUGGUUGAUGUCUUCUAGGAAGCAGUUGGGAAGACUACAUUGAUGCAAGAUUCCAGCAAUGCCAUGCGCUGCAUUUAUUGGUCAAGAUGCUCAGAGAAUGGAGUCCCUGCACCUCGUGGUGAAACGUGAACAUUUUCUUUCUUUUGGAAAGCUAAACGUCAUUUGCUGUAUCAAUUGCAUUCUUGCAGCUCAGAUGUGUACUAUAUUUUUUCUAAUUUUGAAUCAAUUAAUAUUCACUUUUCUGUAUAAAAAUGACGUACAGUGUGAAGGACAAGGACUGCGAGAGAUGACAUACACUGCGCUGACUUCCAACAAUAUUUUAUUGCGUUGCCACAUCGUGUGUUUAUACACAAGAAGGGCCAUGCGCAGAAAAUGAAAGGCAGUCGCAAGGGGUGUUCUAACAGCAAGUCAUUGUACUAAGAACAUGGUCACUAAAAAAAAAUCACAAUUUCUAUCUGUGGAGAUACAAGACUUCACUAGGGGUCAGCGUGAUAGAGGGGGCACUAACGCACACACUACCCAUUUUUCUGGUGAAAUAAGCAUCAAUAAUGUACCGGGUGAGCUGUGUUUUGCUAGAACUUGCGUAUCUUCAAAGAGGGGCAUGCAGCGGCAGUCCCGGCAAUGAAUGCCCAAGUGGCCUUGAACAGUGUUAUGGACGUUAUAGUGCACUUUUAAACGAUCAUUUAGGCACCUGCCUGUCCGUCCAACAUAUUUACUGCCUUAAAACGGGAAUAUGGUAAACCACAUUCGUUACACAUAUCGCAAAACGUUUUCUGUGCCCGACAGAGCAAGAACUCUGACACGAUUUAGGCGCGUUUACACGCUUAUAGAGCUUUGCCAGCUUUUCCGGGGCUGAGAAAAGGACUGGGAUUCCUGGAGGUUGCCAAAUCUUUUUUUAGCCUGUCGGACACAUCAUGCACAUACGGUAGCACUGCGAACCAGUCUUUCAACCGGCUGGUUCCUUGACUGAGUGCGCUCAUCACGUUUUGUGCCCUUCAGAAGCUGUUCUGCUAUGGCU